UACGGGGGGGGCAAGCGUUGUUCGGAAUUACUGGGCGUAAAGGGCUCGUAGGCGGCCAACUAAGUCAGACGUGAAAUCCCUCGGCUUAACCGGGGAACUGCGUCUGAUACUGGAUGGCUUGAGUUUGGGAGAGGGAUGCGGAAUUCCAGGUGUAGCGGUGAAAUGCGUAGAUAUCUGGAGGAACACCGGUGGCGAAGGCGGCAUCCUGGACCAACACUGACGCUGAGGAGCGAAAGCCAGGGAAGCAAACAGG
rnacentral:rRNA from 1 species